GCUGGCGGUAUGCUUAACACAUGCAAGUCGAACGAGAAGGAAGAGCUUGCUCUUCCUGAAAGUGGCGAACGGGUGAGUAACGCGUGGGUAACCUACCCUUUGGAAAGGAAUAGCCUCGGGAAACUGGGAGUAAUGCCUUAUAAGAUACGUUUGUCGCAUGGCAUUUGUAUUAAACGCUCCGGCGCCAUAGGAUGGACCCGCGUCCCAUUAGCUAGUUGGUGAGAUAACAGCUCACCAAGGCCACGAUGGGUAACCGGUCUGAGAGGGCGAACGGUCACACUGGAACUGAGACACGGUCCAGACUCCUACGGGAGGCAGCAGUGGGGAAUAUUGCGCAAUGGGGGCAACCCUGACGCAGCAAUACCGCGUGAGUGAAGAAGGUUUUCGGAUCGUAAAGCUCUGUUAUUGGGGAAGAAAAAAAGACGGUACCCAAGAAGAAAGUUCCGGCUAACUACGUGCCAGCAGCCGCGGUAAUACGUAGGGAACAAGCGUUGUCCGGAUUUACUGGGCGUAAAGGGCACGCAGGCGGUUUUUUAAGUCAGAUGUGAAAGGCCACAGCUCAACUGUGGACAUGCAUUUGAAACUGAAAGACUUGAGUAUUGGAGAGGCAAGUGGAAUUCCUAGUGUAGCGGUGAAAUGCGUAGAUAUUAGGAGGAACACCGGUGGCGAAGGCGGCUUGCUGGACAAAUACUGACGCUGAGCUGGCGGUAUGCUUAACACAUGCAAGUCGAACGAGAAGGAAGAGCUUGCUCUUCCUGAAAGUGGCGAACGGGUGAGUAACGCGUGGGUAACCUACCCUUUGGAAAGGAAUAGCCUCGGGAAACUGGGAGUAAUGCCUUAUAAGAUACGUUUGUCGCAUGGCAUUUGUAUUAAACGCUCCGGCGCCAUAGGAUGGACCCGCGUCCCAUUAGCUAGUUGGUGAGAUAACAGCUCACCAAGGCCACGAUGGGUAACCGGUCUGAGAGGGCGAACGGUCACACUGGAACUGAGACACGGUCCAGACUCCUACGGGAGGCAGCAGUGGGGAAUAUUGCGCAAUGGGGGCAACCCUGACGCAGCAAUACCGCGUGAGUGAAGAAGGUUUUCGGAUCGUAAAGCUCUGUUAUUGGGGAAGAAAAAAAGACGGUACCCAAGAAGAAAGUUCCGGCUAACUACGUGCCAGCAGCCGCGGUAAUACGUAGGGAACAAGCGUUGUCCGGAUUUACUGGGCGUAAAGGGCACGCAGGCGGUUUUUUAAGUCAGAUGUGAAAGGCCACAGCUCAACUGUGGACAUGCAUUUGAAACUGAAAGACUUGAGUAUUGGAGAGGCAAGUGGAAUUCCUAGUGUAGCGGUGAAAUGCGUAGAUAUUAGGAGGAACACCGGUGGCGAAGGCGGCUUGCUGGACAAAUACUGACGCUGA
rnacentral:rRNA from 1 species